GACCGCUCAAUGGCGACUCCAUCACCGAGUACGAAGUGGGCGUCUGCGAAGGGAGGAUUGUUCUACUCGUUACCCCAUUGAGCAUUGUGCGCCGCGAUAUCGAGACUGACGGAGGGAGAGGAGAGAUCAGGGGAGCCCCUCCUGGUUCGGAGAACCUGUGGGUGGGUGUCAGCCUUAAGCCCUGCCCGCCUGCUCCGGCCUCCGGGGACCUGGACGGGUUUGGGGUCCAGAGAGGUGCAGUGGGUUCUUGUCUGGUUAAUGGGCAGGACCCCGUGAGCAUCGUUUAGAAGAGGGAUCCCUGCUCAGGCUGACGUUGGGGGCGAUGAUGCUGUUCGGGGCAUCGUGGUGCGGAUCGCAGCAGUCUCCCUUCCGCAGGCGCGGCGAGGAGGAGGGCAGGCGCCCGCUGUUCCCAUCCCUUCUUACUCCUCAACAGCCCGCACCCAGGAGAGCAGGGAAGGGUUUCUUCUGAAGCAUCCUAUCGUGUGUGUGUGUUUGUUUAUUGCCCUGCGGUACUGCAAAAGGAGGGACAGUGAUCCUAAGGACAAGAGUUUUUGACCCAAGACCAGGAGAUUACAAUUUGGAAAAGAUGGUGUUUAAAAACUGAUCAUAUCCACAAAGGUGACAACAACAUGAACCUGAAGUCUUUUAUCAGUGGAUAGUGUUUUUUUUUUGUUGUAAAAAUAUGUAUUGAUUGAAAAAAUGACUUCUGUAACAGGAUUGCAAGAAUAUAAGAAUCCUUUUUCUUUAUGGAAAAAUUGGAAGAUUUAACAAACACAAACAAAAUAGUUUACCCUGCCUUUUUAAAUGCCAUAUCAGUUGUCUGUUAUCAUUUUCAUAAUGUUUCCUUUUUUUUUUUUUUCAGGUUUCAGUUUAUUCCAGAAUUUUUUUUUUUUAACUAUUAAGUUCUCCCUUGGUACCCAACUUUAAGAAAAUAAAUUUAUUUCAAUGCAAAUGAGUGCAGUAUGGUUCU